ACUGACUGGCUGAUUUGAACGUGAUCUAGACAAGGGGCAAUUGUCAAUUACCUAAUCAAGUUAACUUACGUUUUUAAUCGAAAGGGCAUCAUUAAGCAAAAAAGCAAAAAUAGUUGAUGAAUAGGCAGUGUGAGGAGUUUUUAAGUUGCAGUAUUUAGCCGAUGCGUUUGUGUCAUAUAAACAAGUGACAUUCAAAAACAGGAUAAUCACCCUCCCCAGGCAAAGUAAGCUAAUCCCGUGUUGUCACGUCACAACGCAGUGAACUGUGGGGAAUUCCCUCAAGUAAAGUCUGCAGAAAUGCCGACGUACAGAAAGUGAGCAUAAAGGGCUCAAAAAGAAGGCAAGAGAGCCCUCAUGCGCUUGACGAUUUCGCAGUGGGACAGCCAUGAGUCCUCUAACUCAGUGGGAGCGUGCCUCAAAGUCGGUCUGCGAGGGUCCACAUGGACGUCAGCGUGCAGGCCAAACGUUUGUGUCCACGUGGAUGAUCUGCACAGCAAAAGCCCCGACUUUGUGUUACAAUGCUUGGAAAUCAUUGGCGUGCAUGGGCAUGCAGAAAAAAUGAAUUACCUUUUAGUUAGACCAGUUUGCAAGUAUGCGAGUUAAAAAAUAAUGAGGCUG